AUGAAUAGUAACAGAGCCCCUGGCCCUGACAAUAUACCAGCAGAGUUUUAUCAACACUGUUGGGACAUUGUGAAAAAUGAUAUCAUGAGACUUUUUACUGCUUUGCAUGAGGGGACUUUGGAUGUGCACAUGCUGAACUAUGGGAUAAUCAGGCUGCUCCCUAAGGUUAACGGGGCGAAAAAAAUUCAGCAGUUUAGACCCAUUUGUUUGCUCAGGUGCCCUUAUAUGCUGAUAACAAAAGUGCUUGACAAUAGAUCGGCCCCAUAUGCUGACAUCUUGUUUAGCAAACACCAAAAUGCUUUUAUCAAGCACAGAAAUAUUAUGGAUGGUGUGUUAACUUUGCAUGAGAUUCUGCACCAUACUCAUGUAAAGAAAAAAAGUUGGGAUUAUCAUUAA
rnacentral:rRNA from 1 species